GAGCGGCGCACGGGUGAGUAACGCUACAUGACUGCCCUUUACUGGGGGAUAGCCUCGGGAAACUGAGAUUAAUACCCCAUGGUAUUAUUAUGCUGCAUGGUAUGAUAAUUAAAGCUGAGGCGGUAAAGGAUGGGUGUGCGUCUGAUUAGCUAGUUGGAAAGGUAACGGCUUACCAAGGCGAUGAUCAGUAGGGGGCGUGAGAGCGUGAACCCCCAACGGGUACUGAGACACGGACCCGACUCCUACGGGAGGCAGCAGUAAGGAAUAUUGGUCAAUGGAGGAAACUCUGAACCAGCCAUCCCGCGUGAAGGAUGAAGGGGCUCUGCCUUGUAAACUUCUUUUGAAUGGGACGAAAAAGGGGAUUUAUCCUCGACUGACGGUACCAUUAGAAUAAGCACCGGUAACUCCGUGCAAGCAGCCGGGUAAUACGGAGGGUGCAAGCGUUAUCCGGGAUGGGUUAAGGGGUCCGAGGCGGAUCUGUAAUCAGGUGAAAUCUCCAAAGUUUAAAUUGGUGAAAUUGGCCAUUGGAUAACUGGCAGGGGUCCUUGAAUGUAGGUGGAAAUUUAAGUUGGGAAUAAGUANAGUGGUAAGGGUGGAAAG
rnacentral:rRNA from 1 species